rnacentral:rRNA from 1 species
AUAGCUGGUUCUCCCCGAAAUAGCUUUAGGGCUAGCCUCAAGGUGAGAGAUACGGAGGUAGAGCACUGAAUGUCCUAGGGGGUAUUGCACCUACCGAAGACUAUCAAACUCCGAAUGCCGUCAUCUUAUACUUGGGAGCCAGACUGUGGGUGAUAAGAUUCAUAGUCGAAAGGGCAACAGCCCAGAUCGUCAGCUAAGGUCCCUAAAUGUAAGUUAAGCGGUAAAGGAUGUGGGAUUGCACAGACAACCAGGAUGUUGGCUUAGAAGCAGCCACUCAUUCAAAGAGUGCGUAAUAGCUCACUGGUCGAGUGAUCCUGCGCCGAAGAUUUCCGGGGCUAAAAC